UUGGGGCAGCGAUAGAAGCGGCAUCCCUCGAUAGGUAUCGAGGAUAUAGCUGAAAGCGCGGUACUUC
rnacentral:misc_RNA from 1 species